rnacentral:rRNA from 1 species
UGGGGAAUAUUGCACAAUGGGCGAAAGCCUGAUGCAGCAACGCCGCGUGAGGGAUGACGGCCUUCGGGUUGUAAACCUCUUUUAGCAGGGAAGAAGCGAAAGUGACGGUACCUGCAGAAAAAGCGCCGGCUAACUACGUGCCAGCAGCCGCGGUAAUACGUAGGGCGCAAGCGUUAUCCGGAAUUAUUGGGCGUAAAGAGCUCGUAGGCGGUUUGUCGCGUCUGCUGUGAAAUCCCGAGGCUCAACCUCGGGCCUGCAGUGGGUACGGGCAGACUAGAGUGCGGUAGGGGAGAUUGGAAUUCCUGGUGUAGCGGUGGAAUGCGCAGAUAUCAGGAGGAACACCGAUGGCGAAGGCAGAUCUCUGGGCCGUAACUGACGCUGAGGAGCGAAAGGGUGGGGAGCAAACA